rnacentral:rRNA from 2 species
UGACCUCGAUCAGUAGAU